CACUCCUGCGGGAGGCAGCAGUGGGGAAUUUUGGACAAUGGGCGAAAGCCUGAUCCAGCAAUGCCGCGUGAGUGAAGAAGGCCUUCGGGUUGUAAAGCUCUUUUGUCAGGGAAGAAACGGUGAAAGCUAAUAUCUUUUGCUAAUGACGGUACCUGAAGAAUAAGCACCGGCUAACUACGUGCCAGCAGCCGCGGUAAUACGUAGGGUGCAAGCGUUAAUCGGAAUUACUGGGCGUAAAGCGUGCGCAGGCGGUUUUGUAAGUCUGAUGUGAAAUCCCCGGGCUCAACCUGGGAAUUGCAUUGGAGACUGCAAGGCUAGAAUCUGGCAGAGGGGGGUAGAAUUCCACGUGUAGCAGUGAAAUGCGUAGAUAUGUGGAGGAACACCGAUGGCGAAGGCAGCCCCCUGGGUCAAGAUUGACGCUCAUGCACGAAAGCGUGGGGAGCAAACAGGAUUAGAAACCCGAGUAGUCCCAU
rnacentral:rRNA from 1 species